UCCUCCCAAAGAGUAACGGAGGAGCACGAAGGUGGGCUAAUCACGGUCGGACAUCGUGAGGUUAGUGCAAUGGCAUAAGCCCGCUUGACUGCGAGAAUGACAAUUCGAGCAGGUGCGAAAGCAGGUCAUAGUGAUCCGGUGGUUCUGAAUGGAAGGGCCAUCGCUCAAC
rfam:Vibrio angustum S14 1099604003232 genomic scaffold, whole genome shotgun sequence.